rnacentral:sRNA from 1 species
ACGGGCUGCUUCCUUGGUUUGGUGCGAUCGCGUGAGACGCGUCAGGUGCUUGAUUUCCCUGAGUCCCGGUGCCUCAGCUGCCCAGUGCCCACGGUAAAAGUCUAUUGCACUGAGCAGUGGCAAACAGCAAAUGAGAUUACCAAAGAUUUGAACAACUGUUAAUUUAGAAAAAGUGCUGUCGUUGUAAUAACAACUUCUAAGAGACCGGCGGCCCUUUUCAGCCCGUUCGUAAGAAGGCAACAAGUUCUUCUCCUCUACAGAAGGAUUUUGCAAACAAUUCGGCAAGUUCCAAAUGAUUCUGAUCGCAAAUACCUGAAAGAUUGGGCAAGAGAAGAAUUCAAAAGAAACAAAAGUGCCACCGAAGAGUAGCCUCCAACUGAUUCUCCAGCUUGUUGAUUAGAGGUUCACAUCGACAACCAUUUAUUGGUGCCUAAGAGAGAAACAAAAAGGAAUCAAUCCCUUGUUCAUUCCUUCAUCAGGCUUCGCCCACGACUGAAGCGCAAGACCUGAAGGAGGCAAACGGCAUUGUUACAACCACUGGUGUGCGCAGCAUCUGUGUGAGAGAAUUCUCCUUGGACCAGGGGCUCUGACCUAAUGGAAUUUACAGCCUAGAGGGUGAGAGCAGGUGUUCACAUCAAGCAAGCACCUCUGGACCACCUACCAUCCUCCCAGGUCUUGUCCUGGGCACCACAGGGACUCGGAGACAGUCCACAGAAGUGAGGGAAUAUUGACCCUGAGGCCUCCAAAAGUAGUAUCCUAUGGCUGGGCAUGGUGGCUCACGUCUGUAAUCCCAGCACUUUGGGAGGCGAAGGUGGGUGGAUCACCUGAGGUCAGGAGUUCGAGACCAGCCUGGCCAACAUGGUGAAACCCCGUCUCUACUAAAAAUACAAAAAUCAGCUGGGUGUGGUGGCAGGCACCUGUAAUCCCAGCUACUCAGGAGACUGAGGCAGGAGAAUCGCUUGAACCUCAGAGAUGGAGGUUGCAGUGAACUGAGAUUGCACCACUGUACUCCAGCCUGAGUGACAUAGCGAGACUCUGUCUCAAAUAAAUAAACAAAUAGUAUCCUCUUAGUACUGCUGUGGCCCAUUUAAAAUCCAUGUCCAACUAGGGCCUAAGGCAAGGGUAUUUCUCUUUUCAGGCAAAGCAAACACUAAUGCUAUUUCUGUAACCACAGAUCAAGAGAACAGUAUGCAUAACAUCUUAUGCCUAAAGUUCCUUGUUUGUGUUGAGAAAAAGCCUCAGCAUAUACAAUUAUGCAUAAAAUAAACUUUCAUAGCAUGCCAUCCAACUUAUUUGUUAUUCGAUGUAAGCAU